AAUAAAUAUAAAAGUAAAAAAAAAUAUUUUUUGAUUAAAGUAGAAACGUCUAAUUGAUUUCUACCUUACCGACCACUUUUAAGGUAACCAACUUCAGAACGAUUUGUCAAAAUAAUCUGUCAAUUUGACGAUGUCGUGUUUUCUUCAAGACGUUUUUUGCUUAAAAUCUUAUAAAAGAAGUAAGAAGUGGAUGAAAUUUUAUUCGAUGGAAAUUGGCAGUUAGUCCAAUUGACCCCCAAGUGCUUAAAACGAUGUAUAUUGUAUGCAGACCAUUUCAAACAAGAGGAUUUCAUGCUGUGAUUUAUAUAUGAUGUACGACAUAUAUGUUGUAAAUUGUUAAAUUUAAUCAAUUUAAUUUUGCAAUCAGCAACACAAUAUACGAUUGUGUAUGU